rnacentral:rRNA from 1 species
GGACGGGUGAGUAGCGCGUGGGUAACCUACCCCAAAGUCCGGGAUAACAGCGGGAAACCGCUGCUAAUACCGGAUGUCUUUACCUUGGGGCAUCUUGAGGUAAAGAAAGGUAACGCUUUGGGAUGGGCCCGCGUCCCAUUAGCUAGUUGGUGAGGUAACGGCUCACCAAGGCGACGAUGGGUAGCCGGCCUGAGAGGGUGGACGGCCACACUGGGACUGAGACACGGCCCAGGCUCCUACGGGAGGCAGCAGUAGGGAAUAUUGCGCAAUGGACGGAAGUCUGACGCAGCGACGCCGCGUGAGCGAUGAAGGUCUUCGGAUCGUAAAGCUCUGUCCUUGGGGAAGAAGGCGAAAGCUUGACGGUACCCAAGAAGAAAGCCCCGGCUAACUACGUGCCAGCAGCCGCGGUAAUACGUAGGGGGCGAGCGUUGUCCGGAAUUACUGGGCGUAAAG